UACGAAGGGGGCUAGCGUUGCUCGGAAUCACUGGGCGUAAAGCGUGCGCAGGCGGUUCGUUGUGUCGGCGGUGAAAGCCCCGGGCUUAACCUGGGAAUGGCCGUUGAAACUGGCGAACUGGAGUGUGGCAGAGGGGGGUGGAAUUCCGCGUGUAGCAGUGAAAUGCGUAGAGAUGCGGAGGAACACCGAUGGCGAAGGCAGCCCCCUGGGUCAAGAUUGACGCUCAUGCACGAAAGCGUGGGGAGCAAACAGG
rnacentral:rRNA from 1 species